UCUGUAUGAUGUAAAUCUUAUUUGCCUGACUUAUGAUGGAGGCAAAAAACUGAUUUAAUGAGGCUGAAG
rnacentral:snoRNA from 10 species